UGCUAGCGAGACAAGUCGGUGAAGCCGCUCGUCUAGCAUACAAGAGUCCUGGGUUCGAAUCCCAGCCGAGCAC
rnacentral:tRNA from 1 species